rnacentral:lncRNA from 12 species
CAGUUAAUCCCAGUGGCAGGUUAUAUGAUAGUUUGAGGACCAGAAUCAUCUAAUUAGGUCAGGUCUUUUUUUCUUUUUUUUCUUUUUUUUUUUUUUUUAGGUCUAUUUUUCUAAACAGAGAUUAAAUAUGUGACAAGAAGACUGAAGCACCGAAACAAGACCUCGAAGUGUAGUCUACACAAAUGACUCUCAAACACCGAUCCACUCUCUGGUCUUAGGUUUGGCAACAUUUUUAUAGCCUAUGGGAAAAUAAGAGUAAUAAGAGUAAUCUGGUGAGUUUAUCAUUAGGUUAAAUUGGCUCAAUUUAAAGAGCUGUCCAUUCUGAAAUUGUGUCCUUGCCCUUUUAAGGGGUCACUAAAUGUUCCUUCUUACAAAAAACGUUGGUGAUAGUAAAUGGCAACAUUUUUGUUUUGCUCUGUGUUAAUGUUCUUAAGCAGGAAAAAAGAGUUCUAUGUUUGAUCCCUUUUUUAUUUUUUAUUUUCUGCUUCCUGGAAUCCAGAAAUCUGAGAACCAUAGGCAACUACUCACCUCUGCAUAUAUUUGGUACAUAUUUUGUAUACAUGUCUGGUUGCCUUCUUGAGUCCUAUGCUGUGUUGAACUGAGCCGCAUGAACUGUGCUGAUGACCUUGGCCUCUUUCCAUGGUGUUUAUUGCUUGUAGCCUACCUUGCCUGGAAUUCAAAGUCCUGUACGUGUUUGUCAUGCUGGCGACCUGCACUUUAGAAAAUGCACCUGAGGAACUACUUCCAAGGACUAUUUGCACCGGAAUACCAAACCUGAGCCUGAUACUGCCUCAACCAACAGUGUCACUCUUCUGGAGACCUAUGAUUGAGCAAGGAAGACCAAAUCUCUGCUACCUGAUUGCAUUUGUGAAGAGCUAAAGUUCUCUGAUUGUUGCUGUAUUCUUCCUACAGAGGCUGUGGUCUGCUCUGGAGACCAAUUCUUUCUUUUAGUUUUUGUCUGCCAUGAUUUGAGGCCCUCU